GUGCUCACUUCAGCAGCACAUAUAUUAAAAUUGUACCAAAACAGAGAAGAUUAGCAUGGCCCCUGUGCAAAGAUGACAUGCAAAUUUGUGAAGGAGUCCAUAGUUUA
ensembl:snRNA U6 U6 spliceosomal RNA